UACGUAGGGUGCAAGCGUUGUCCGGAAUUAUUGGGCGUAAAGAGCGUGUAGGCGGCCCGAUUAGUCCGCUGUGAAAGUCCAGGGCUCAACCCUGGAAUGCCGGUGGAUACUGUCGGGCUAGAGUCCGGAAGGGGCGAGUGGAAUUCCUGGUGUAGCGGUGAAAUGCGCAGAUAUCAGGAGGAACACCAAUGGCGAAGGCAGCUCGCUGGGACGUGACUGACGCUGAGACGCGAAGGCGUGGGGAGCAAACAGG
rnacentral:rRNA from 1 species